rnacentral:rRNA from 1 species
ACGAACGCUGGCGGCGUGCUUAACCCAUGCAAGUCGAACGGUGAAGGGGCCUGCUUUUGUGGGCCCUGGAUGAGUGGCGAACGGGUGAGUAACACGUGAGUAACCUGCCCCCUUCUUCUGGAUAACCGCAUGAAAGUGUGGCUAAUACGGGAUAUUCUGGGUCUGUCGCAUGAUGGGUCUGGGAAAGAUUGCGCCUUUGGGUGUUUUUGGUGGGGGAUGGGCUCGCGGCCUAUCAGCUUGUUGGUGGGGUGAUGGCCUACCAAGGCGGUGACGGGUAGCCGGCCUGAGAGGGUGGACGGUCACACUGGGACUGAGACACGGCCCAGACUCCUACGGGAGGCAGCAGUGGGGAAUAUUGCACAAUGGGCGCAAGCCUGAUGCAGCGACGCCGCGUGAGGGAUGGAGGCCUUCGGGUUGUAAACCUCUUUCGCCAGUGAAGCAGGCCUGCUCCUUGUGGGUGGGUUGACGGUAGCUGGAUAAGAAGCGCCGGCUAACUACGUG